AACUUUCUAGUAUUAAGUAGUACAAGUGACUUCCAAUCACACAGUCUUGGUUAAAAUCCAAGGAAAGAUA
rnacentral:tRNA from 1 species